UACAGAGGUCUCGAGCGUUGUUCGGAUUCAUUGGGCGUAAAGGGUGCGUAGGUGGCGCUGUAAGUCAGACGUGAAAUCCCUCAGCUUAACUGGGGAACUGCGUCUGAUACUGGAUGGCUCGAGUGUGGGAGAGGAAUGCGGAAUUCCAGGUGUAGCGGUGAAAUGCGUAGAUAUCUGGAGGAACACCGGUGGCGAAGGCGGCAUUCUGGACCAUAACUGACACUGAGAGACGAAAGCCAGGGGAGCAAACGGG
rnacentral:rRNA from 1 species